AUUUAUAUCUGUGGAGAGACUACUUCAGUAUACAAGCAUUCCAUGUGAACCACCACUCAUCCUAAAUGAGAACAGACCUCAACGUAGCUGGCCUUCAAGGGGGGAAAUAAAACAUUCUGAACUUGCAGGUUCGUUACAGCCUGCACAUGCCUCUUGUGUUAAGGGGUCUCACUUGCAGAUUUCCCGGAGGAAGAAGACCGGGAUUGUCAGCAGGACAGGCAGUGGGAAACCCACCCUGAUACAAACAAUCUUUCGUAUAAUCGAUCCUACUGUCGCUCACA